rnacentral:rRNA from 1 species
UAACCCGACAGUUUAAAUAAGUGUUAAAUGCUACCAUUAAACUUAUCAUAUAUCACGCAUAGACCGAUUUUGUUUACCGUAGUAACAAUUUCAGCGUGAAUCACCCAUCACACAGUGAAUCACUGAAAUUUACCCAAUAUCAGUAUCACUUACGCAACUGCAGACAGCUGCUUAAUACAGUCACACUUGUCUUGACUUGGCGCAAUAAAAAUCUUCAUUGAAACACCCGUUCACGCGGGCAGAUCGGUGAUCAUUUUUGUUUUGUUGCAUUCACGCAUACAAAAUUUUUUGAUUUCUCUGUAUCGCUUAUUCUUAAGGACAACGCGUUACACCGUGACAAAUUUCUUUAUGGAUAACUCAGGGAAAGUUUGGCUAAUACGUACGAGUACAUUUUUUUCUACACACACACACACACACACACACUCAAAUUAUUUUUGUAUCGCUGUGUAUCAACUACUACUCAGCACUCAAUGGUAAACUUUGGCUGCGCUUGCGCGGUCAGUUUAAAGUUUAACUGCAACAUGAGAGACAUUGAGCACGCACGUGUUGUGUCUUCGGACGCUUCACAUCACGCUGAGCAGACUUUGCGAAGUUUACUUUGCGAAGCAUGUCAUACAAGCAUCUACAGCAUCAAGUCACAGGGUUGGCAAGUGUAUUUUUGAACCUUCAAAGCAGUCACGCAUACGGAAGAGUAGUUUCUGAUCCCAUAGAAGGAGCACCGUACAAUGAGAGACCGCUCUUAGUUCUAAGGAACGCAGCAGGCGCGUAAAUUGCCCAAUGCUAGUACCCUACAAUCAAAUUGUAUUUACAUGCGUUAACAAUUUACAACAUUACAAGUUUUAAUGACAGACAUUAUCAACACUUUCAUUUUUUCUGUUAUAUCAUACACAUAUUAUCUUUGUUCGUUGUACAUCAGCAUAUAUAGUAUUAAUUUAUUAUUUUACUGAGGCAGUGACAAGCUGUAACGGUUGAGUAUAAAAAUGACGAGUGUCUGGCAUUGCCGCUCUUUCGGGAGCUUGGCAAGUUGCCGACGCUUUGUGUGCUCAAUUGGAAUGCGGUGAGUUUAAGCAACUCAGAACCUUUGGACGGUGUUAGUAAAAUUUCACUGUUUAUGUAUC